rnacentral:rRNA from 1 species
CCGUGUACACACGCCGUCANACCNCGAAAGCUGGUUGCACCAGAAGCCGGUGACCGAACCCGCAAGGGACGGAGCCGUCCAAGGUUUGACUAGUGAUUGGGGUG